rnacentral:rRNA from 1 species
CUACAGGAAUAAACCGUUAUUUUUUUACGUUUAACAAUUUACCGGCUUCUCUAUUCCAAGAGGCCACUAAGAGCGAUGCCGGUUCUUAGGUAGCUAACUCAAUCGAAACCGACAUGUCUCAGUAUCGUGUAGAGGAGCACUCCUUAAUCCUCCCUUCUACCGCAGCGGUUAGCUUCCAGCAGACGCGGACCCGUCGUAGAGGUGCGGCACCCUGCCUACAACCGGCGGCGCGGUAGCGCGGCGUAGUCCUCUUCGCCGCAGCCUCGGCUUCCGGCGGCGGCACGGUUCCACACCGCCUCUCUUGACGCGAGGCGUACGCGCAACCGGCAGAGACAACAGCCCGACGCACCGCCCGGCACCACGAGGAGGCCUCCCUCCUCGUAACGACGGCCCUACACCAACAGCGGCGACAUCUGCCGGCACGGCUACCUCCGGCGCCCACGCCGGAGUUGGUAGCGUAGGUCCCCCUUUUCCCUCCUCCUCUCACCUGCUCGCCGGCGGCGAAUCUGGAAGGAGGCAGGCCUUAGCUCAGGCGACUAGGCGCCGGCUAGAGUAAAUUCUCCCUAAUAGUUCAUGUUCUUCUUCACGCACGUACCCUGCUCGUUCGAUUAAGGACCUUCGCCUGAAUGACGAUACCAACACAAUUACUACUGUCUCACAAGGGUAGCAACUUCGGUUUGACUGUCUACUCGGACCACAACUAGGAAAACGAGUUUCCUCCCUUCUCUUCUUCUCGUCGUAGCUAUUUGUUCUUUAAUUGUCUGCACCCUUAAACUUCUUGCCCGGUAGCAGCCUAAAAGAGGGUCCACUCCCCUCCGCAAGUCCCCUAACCGAUGCUUCCGCGACCGGUGGCUCGCGGCUCGCCGUCGAUCGGAUGUUGCUUCUAGACGUGUUCCCGCGAUGUUCUAGACGUACCUGCAGGAUCUUAGGUGGCCAGACAUCAUUGUACUCAGGGUGCGAGCCGGAGGACGUUCCCGCUGGAAAGCAUGAGGGUUUUCGUCUGGACCAAGUUCUAGUCUCCGUUGUUCAUUCGAGGAUGAUACACAGAUACAAUUAGACAGUAGAGUCAUAUUAAGUAGGGGUAGGGUGAUGUAAAUCAAGUCAAGUCAAUUCACUAAUCCGUAUUACGCGCUUACGUUCGUUCCAACCCUCCUUACCCAGCUACCACAGUACGGAGCCGCGUGCCCUGGUCCAUUCCGUUGAACGUGAAACUAAAGGUUUCACCACCAAACCUGAAACCUGUCAUGAUAUUGGGCUACCAGUAGAAGAGCUAGAUGUAGUCAUAAGACAUCUCCGACACUUGUUCGAACUCCCUGGACUUUCAACUCACUACCAAAAGGAAAAAAAAGUUCAUAAAAUAUUAAAAAAUAAGAGGUGAGAUUUGUCAAGUGAAGUUAUAGAGAAUGUGUUUUCGUUGAGGGUUCCCGCAAGACUUCGAAUGCUUUCACCUUCCGGAUUUGUAGAUAGUAGAUUUCUAAGUAAACGUCUAUGAUGAAAUCCCAAUAAAGCGGUGAAGUGACUUUUACUUUGGUUUGUAGAGAAGAAGAAAAGAAACAACUUGUCUUCAUGGCUGUGUGUUUCAUAUAAGGUAUCUAGUUUCUUCUCAUUUACACAUAUAGCGUGUUAAGUUUCCAAUUUUAUAACAAGACGAUUUAUGGGGGUAGUAGAGUCAUCAAACACCCAGUAAUGCUAGUCGUAAAUGCUAAACGUAGUUUCAAAAGAUACGUACGUUUGUUUUGAUGAGACUAGUUCAACCAUACCUCAACCUGUGGGUCUGAAAAACGCGUAGAUUCACAGCACUGUAACUAACAAAGUAGAUUAAGAGGUACACGGUUCACUACAUUUAUGACUUUCCUAAUGGUAAAAUAAUAUAAUUGUUUCUGUUAGCAAAGGACAUUGAUGAUGUCAUAGAAUCUGGCUAAGGUUGAUCUACCUUGACCGAGUUAACAUGUUCUUCAUGUUCCUGGUCCCAUACUAGAUAGACGUAUACUAGUCAGGAACUAAAAGUCAAUACUAUAUAAUACGAAUGUUAAACUACGCUGGUGUCCAAAACUCAAGGAAUGAAAGGGUACGUUAGUCAAACCACCCGUCCUUGGACCGUAAUUACUCAUUUAACAAGUCUAAAGAACGUGAGUAAACUUCCGGCUCAUAGACUAAAAACUGUUCUAUUUACACACGAACUAUGAGGGAGGAGGAAAAAAGAACCACCAAGAGACGAAGUUCGACUUUCUUUGCUAACGUAAACACAUGUUACAUGUGAUACUGACGAAGGUACUUGUUAAUGAUAUUAAACUAACUCCUUUGUACUAGGUCGGACACAUGAGAUAAAAAUACGUCAGACUCGCUAUAUUUUAGACUUUGGUUACAACCAAUAAUUUUUUAGCCUGAAAUCAACAUGGUUGACUGACCCGCACAGGCACGAGGACACAAGAACCCCGAUGCUAUUGGAGGAACACACGGGGAGUCGUAAUUACUCUAUUACAACCAGGUUACGAAUAUUAAAUUAGUCACCAAGGAUGACUUAAAAAUUUUCCAGAUACGGAUUAAACCACAACGAAUAAGUUAAUCGAAGUGUACAACGUUGAUUAGUACAAACUACACGACGGUACGAGAGUCAUAAUAGAACAAGUCACGAUAUUAAAAAAAAACUCGAAAACAAGUCACGAUAUUAACCCCGGUACGAGAAUCAUAACACAACAAAAAUGCGUGAGUUGUGGAUGACGUCCACUAUCUGAGGCAUUUUUUUAGAUUCCAAUUAUAAAUACGAGUUCCUCUUUACCUCUUUAGAUGUGUAGAACCACUACGACUCUACACAUCCGAAAGAUUAUAACGAAUAAGGACUAACUAUACAGUAGUUUAGUUCAUUUUUGCUCAUACGAAACUAGGUACGGUGUAGGCAACUUACAUUGGAGAACCAUGAAGGAUGAAAAGUCAUCUAAAAACUCCCCCCUCUAUGUACCAGAGUUAUGACGUAAGCCAGAUCUUCUUCGACUAGACAUACUCUACGCCGUCACGGUCCCCUGUCAACGAAGACGAUAAAAACCAAGGUUUUGAUAAUGAAGUAGCUGAGAAAGGACUACACGCCAUAAGUGAGACCUAGCUACCCUUUGAAUUUGAACACUUCCUAGGAAUAGUCAACAAUCUCUCUAAGAACACCUCCUUUUUACACGCGAAGCGAUAAAGGUCCGUAAUAUCUGAGAAACUACAGGAACUCCUUCGACUCCGGUUGUUCCGACCACCCUUCAUACUAUUACGAAGUUAGCUAUUGGUUUAUCUCAAGAUGUUCUCUCUCCCAAAUUGGGUAAUAAGUAGUCGAUUCAAGGAAUAAUGUUCGCUACAGGGGCUCCCGACACAUUAAUAUCCUCUCGUGUAUGGGUAGUGGUUAGAUAAGUGUACGGAAACCAAGUUACUUCAACUAGCAAGGUGGAGUUCUCUAGUCGAUUCGAAAUCGCGUCGCUCCCUAUUUUAUUCUAGUUCUCAAGAAAAACUGUUGAUUUAUUCUAGUCCUCAAUUAACCUGACAUCUGUACAAGGACCUAACACCUUCCGCACUAAAACAACAAGUCCAUGAAAGCUCAAUUACGAAACACGCCGUGCAGUAAGGUAAACGUUGGAUAUUCAUGAUGACGUAGAACCAUGGCUCACGUUUGAACACUUUAAUGUGUUUUUUAGGGCGUAUUGCUACCUAGAAGCGUAGCAGUAUCCCUCGACAGACUUUUGUUGUAGUCACCUGUCUACUAAAAAACCUUUCUUGUUACGGUCCUAGAAACUGUCUUAUCUUAAAAUGACCUCAAACUCCGAUAUAAUAACUACUCCAUAGGACCUCUCGACGUUCGACGGAAAGAACAAAACUUAGUACAAGGACAACAAAAGAGGGACCACUCUCACAUAAUACACCCAUCACAUUAGUAGUACUAGAGACUCCGAUACAUAUCUCAACGUAGUAACAAAAGAACUUUUAACUGGGAGAUUUAAGUACAAGAGAAUAUUGAAUAGGACAUUUUAGAAGAGACAUAAAAUUACUUCAAACUGCAGUG